rnacentral:rRNA from 1 species
CAUCCUUGAUCGGGAGGUCCGGGUAAUCUUUUGAAACUUCAUCGUGCUGGGGAUAGUCCCUUGCAAUUUUUGGACUUAAACGAGGAAUUCCUAGUAAGCGUGAGUCAUCAACUCGCGUUGAUUACGUCCCUGCCCUUUGUACACACCGCCCGUCGCUACUACCGAUUGAAUGGCUUAGUGAAUCCUUCGGAUUGGCUAUUUUUUUCUGGCAACAGAAUUAAACUGCUAAAAAGUUGGGCAAACUUGGUCAUUUAGAGGAAGUAAAAGUCGUAACAAGGUUUCCGUAGGUGAACCUGCGGAAGGAUCAUUAAAAAAUAUCGCUCGAUUGAGAGUGAUUUAAUAAUCAUCCUACCCUUUGUGAAUUUGUUGUUUGUAAUAAUUUUUUUUGAUUUUAAAAAAAAAUUAUUUAUGGUUUUGUCUAUCCCUAAAAUUGGUUUGUUGUGAAAUGAAUCAAAUUUAGGGAAUAGGCUUUCAUAAAUAAGUUUUUUUUAAAGUCUUAAAGACCUUUUUUAAAAUUAAACUUUUGUUGUAUUCAUUUGUCUAAAUUUUUUUUUAAAUAAUUUAAAAACAACUUUUGACAAUGGAUCUCUUGGUUCUCGCAACGAUGAAGAACGCAGCAAAAUGCGAUAAGUAAUGUGAAUUGCAGAAUACGUGAAUCAUCAAAUCUUCGAACGCAUAUUGCAC